rnacentral:tRNA from 1 species
GUGCGGGUAGUUUAAUUGGAAAAACGCCGUCCCGUCAGGACGGAGUCAUAAGUUCGAGCCUUAUUCCGGCCA